CCUAGAACUCGAGCCACAAGUCCUACCGGCCGCUCUGCGUCCUCACCUUCAAGAAUUUCUAUAGGAGCAAGCGCUAGAACAGAAGUUUUCACCAAAAACAAAGGAAGUAAGUAGAGACAAAAGCAAUACAACAAGACCGAGAAACAAAAAGCCAGGAUAUUGAUUUGGGGACUCUUGACAGUGGAAGGAGGUGCCAGCCAACUACUGAGAGGAAUGGAUCAGGCUUUUAAGAAAUUACUUCUGUGAUGAAGAGAGGAAAAGAUCCCAGAUUCUUUACCCAAGGAAUUUCCACCACCUUGUGUGAACGGAGAACAGAGAGAAAACAGAGAACAUGUAGGGGCAGGUGGCCAGCAGCCCUGGGACGGGGUGGGGGACAGAAACUCAGCACCUGACUGAGAGCUCUAAAACCGUCUUGGAAAUAAAUCAAGAUCAAGCACAGACCUGGAUGUACA
rnacentral:lncRNA from 1 species